UACGUAGGGGGCAAGCGUUGUCCGGAUUUACUGGGCGUAAAGAGCGCGUAGGCGGAAGGUGAAGCGUGGCCUGAAAGCCCCCGGCUCAACCGGGGAAGGCGGCUGCGAACUGGCCUUCUUGAGGGCGAUAGAGGGGGGCGGAAUUCCUGGUGUAGCGGUGAAAUGCGCAGAUAUCAGGAGGAACACCGGUGGCGAAGGCGGGUCUCUGGGCCGAUACUGACGCUGAGGAGCGAAAGCGUGGGGAGCGAACAGG
rnacentral:rRNA from 1 species